AGUGAACGCUGGCGGUAGGCCUAACACAUGCAAGUCGAACGGCAGCACAGUAAGAGCUUGCUCUUACGGGUGGCGAGUGGCGGACGGGUGAGGAAUACAUCGGCAUCUACUUUUUCGUGGGGGAUAACGUAGGGAAACUUACGCUAAUACCGCAUACGACCUACGGGUGAAAGCAGGGGAUCUUCGGACCUUGCGCGAUUGAAUGAGCCGAUGUCGGAUUAGCGAGUUGGCGGGGUAAAGGCCCACCAAGGCGACGAUCCGUAGCUGGUGUGAGAGGAUGAACAGCCACACUGGAACUGAGACACGGUCCAGACUCCGACGGGAGGCAGCGGUGGGGAAUAUUGGACAACGGGCGCAAGCCUGAUCCAGCCAUACCGCGUGGGUGAAGAAGGCCUGCGGGUUGUAAAACCCUUUUGUUGGGAAAGAAAAGCAGCAGGUUAAUACCCCGCUGUUCUGACGGUACCCAAAGAAUAAGCACCGGCUAACUUCGUG
rnacentral:rRNA from 1 species